rnacentral:rRNA from 1 species
AUUGAACGCUGGCGGCAGGCCUAACACAUGCAAGUCGAACGAGUGGCGGACGGGUGAGUAAUGUCUGUGAAACUGCCUGAUGGAGGGGGAUAACUACUGGAAACGGUAGCUAAUACCGCAUACCAUCAGAUGUGCCCAGAUGGGAUUAGCUUGUUGGUGGGGUAACGGCUCACCAAGGCGAAGAUCCCUAGCUGGUCUGAGAGGAUGACAAGACACAAUUGAACUGAGACACGGUCCAGACUCAUACGGGAGGCAGCAGUGUGGAAUAUUGCACAAUGGGCGCAAGCCUGAGUCAGCCAGGACGCGUGUAUGAAGAAGGCCUUCGGGUUGUAAAGUACAUUCAGCGGGGAGGCGUUACCCGCAGAAGAAGCACCGGCUAACUCCGUGCCAGCCGCCACGGUAAUUC